rnacentral:tRNA from 1 species
CUUAUAGCUCAGUGGUAGAGCACUGGUCUCGUAAACCAGGGGUCGUGAGUUCAAACCUCACUGAGGGCA